rnacentral:rRNA from 1 species
GAUGAACGCUAGCGGCAGGCCUAAAACACGCAAGUCGAGGGGUAGAAGGAGCUUGCUCCUUUGAGACCGGCGCACGGGUGCGUAACGCGUAUGCAAUCUACCUUUUACAGAGGGAUAGCCCAGAGAAACUUGGAUUAAUACCUCAUAGUAUAUAUCAUUCGAAUGUUUGUUAUAUUAAAGUUCCAACGGUAAAAGAUGAACAUGCGUCCCAUUAGUUAGUUGGUAAGGUAACGGCUUACCAAGACGAUGAUGGGUAGGGGGCCUGAGAGGGAGAUCCCCCACACUGGUACUGAGACACGUACCAGACUCCUACGGGAGGCAGCAGUGAGGAAUAUUGGUCAAUGGACGCAAGUCUGAACCAGCCAUGCCGCGUGCAGGAAGACGGUCCUAUGGAUUGUAAACUGCUUUUGUACGGGAAGAAACACUCCUACGUGUAGGAGCCUGACGGUACCGUAAGAAUAAGGAUCGGCUAACUCCGUGCCAGCAGCCGCAGUAA